GAUGAACGCUGACAGCAUGCUUAACACAUGCAAGUCAACUGUGGCGGACGGGCGAGUAACUCGUAAAGAACUUGCCUCACAGAUAGGGACAACAUUCGGAAACGAAUGCUAAUACCUGAUACUGUGAGAGAGCUUUGGGUCCCAUUAGCGAGUUGGAGAGGUAACGGCUCAACAAGGCGAUGAUGGGUAGCCGGCCGGAGAGGGUGAACGGCCACAAGGGGACUGAGACACGGCCCUUACUCCUACUGGAGGCAGCAGUGGGGAAUAGUGGACAAUGGACCAAAGUCUAAUCCAGCAAUUCUGUGUGAACGAUGAAGUUUUAGGAAUAUAAAGUGCUUUCAGUUAGGAAGCGGUACCCACAGAAGAAGUGACGGCUAAAUACGUGCCAGCAGCCGCGGUAAUUC
rnacentral:rRNA from 1 species